GAUGAAGAACGUAGCGAAAUGCGAUAAGUAAUGUGAAUUGCAGAAUUCAGUGAAUCAUCGAAUCUUUGAACGCACAUUGCGCCCGCCAGUAUUCUGGCGGGCAUGCCUGUUCGAGCGUCAUUACAACCCUCAGGCCCCCGGGCCUGGCGUUGGGGAUCGGCGGAGCCCCCCGUGGGCACACGCCGUCCCCCAAAUGCAGUGGCGGUCCCGCCGCAGCUUCCAUCGCGUAGUAGCUAACACCUCGCACUGGAGAGCGGCGCGGCCACGCCGUGAAACCCCCAACUUCUGAAUGUUGACCUCGGAUCAGGUAGGAAUACCCGCUGAACUUAAGCAUAUCAAUAAGCGGAGGA
rnacentral:misc_RNA from 1 species